GACGAACGCUGGCGGCGUGCUUAACACAUGCAAGUCGAACGCUGAAGCUCAGCUUUUGUUGGGUGGAUGAGUGGCGAACGGGUGAGUAACACGUGAGUAGCCUGCCCCCUUCUUUGGGAUAACGCCCGGAAACGGGUGCUAAUACUGGAUAUUCACUGGUCUUCGCAUGGGGGUUGGUGGAAAGGGUUUUUCUGGUGGGGGAUGGGCUCGCGGCCUAUCAGCUUGUUGGUGGGGUGAUGGCCUACCAAGGCUUUGACGGGUAGCCGGCCUGAGAGGGUGACCGGUCACAUUGGGACUGAGAUACGGCCCAGACUCCUACGGGAGGCAGCAGUGGGGAGUAUUGAACAAUGGGCGCAAGCCUGAUGCAGCGACGCGGCGUGAGGGAUGGAGGCCUUCGGGUUGUGAACCUCUUUCGCUCAUGGUCAAGCCGCAACAAUGGUUGUGGUGAGGGUAGUGGGUAAAGAAGCGCCGGCUAACUACGUG
rnacentral:rRNA from 1 species